rnacentral:tRNA from 1 species
GCCCCCAUCGUCUAGUGGUUCAGGAUCUCUUUCAAGGAGGCAGCGGGGAUUCGACUUCCCCUGGGUGGG